rnacentral:rRNA from 1 species
ACGGGGUGCAGCAGGCGCGAAAACUUUGCAAUGUGCGAAAGCACGACAAGGUUAAUCCGAGUGAUUUCUGCUAAAGGAAUCUUUUGUCAGUCCUAGAAACACUGUUGAAUAAGGGGUGGGCAAGUUCUGGUGUCAGCCGCCGCGGUAAAACCAGCACCUCAAGUGGUCAGGAUGAUUAUUGGGCCUAAAGCAUCCGUAGCCUGCUUUGUCAGUUUUCGGUUAAAUCCAUACGCUUAACGUAUGGGCUGCCGGAAAUACUGCAUAGCUAGGGAGUGGGAGAGGUAGACGGUACUCGGGAGGAAGGGGUAAAAUCCUUUGAUCUCUCGAUGACCACCUGUGGCGAAGGCGGUCUACCAGAACACGUCCGACGGUGAGGGAUGAAAGCUGGGGGAGCAAACCGGAUUAGAUACCCGGGUAGUCCCAGCUGUAAACUAUGCAAACUCAGUGAUGCAUUGGCUUGAUGCCAAUGCAGUGUUGCAGGGAAGCCGUUAAGUUUGCCGCCUGGGAAGUACGUACGCAAGUAUGAAACUUAAAGGAAUUGGCGGGGGAGCACCACAAGGGGUGAAGCCUGCGGUUCAAUUGGAGUCAACGCCGGA